rnacentral:rRNA from 1 species
CCUACGGGUGGCAGCAGUGAGGAAUAUUGGUCAAUGGACGAGAGUCUGAACCAGCCAAGUAGCGUGAAGGAUGACUGCCCUAUGGGUUGUAAACUUCUUUUGUAUGGGAAUAAAACGUUCCACGUGUGGGAUUUUGUAUGUACCAUAUGAAUAAGGAUCGGCUAACUCCGUGCCAGCAGCCGCGGUAAUACGGAGGAUCCGAGCGUUAUCCGGAUUUAUUGGGUUUAAAGGGAGCGUAGGUGGAUUGUUAAGUCAGUUGUGAAAGUUUGCGGCUCAACCGUAAAAUUGCAGUUGAAACUGGCAGUCUUGAGUACAGUAGAGGUGGGCGGAAUUCGUGGUGUAGCGGUGAAAUGCUUAGAUAUCACGAAGAACUCCGAUUGCGAAGGCAGUUCACUGGACUGCAACUGACACUGAGGCUCGAAAGUGUGGGUAUCAAACAGGAUUAGAUACCCUAGUAGUC